rnacentral:tRNA from 1 species
AUUGCUUUAGUAUAAUUUAUUACUAUAGCUUUUCGUGCUGUGUAUAGUGUUCAGCACUAAGCAAUU